rnacentral:lncRNA from 1 species
GGCUUUCAGCCUUUGAUCCAAGAUGUCGUUCUACACAGCCGAUGUUUCUGAAGGUCCACUCGUCCAAUCUUGCAUGUGGGAUCAUGGGAAGACAGAUGAAUGUUUUUCUUCCCUCGAGCACAAUGAUGACUCAACUCCGGGCUGGGCCAAACUUCGACAAUCUUUUGGGCUGGGUGGCUGAAUACUGGUGGACCUAAAGAACGCCAUUUAUGAUAAAGUAUACAAUUAUAAAAAGUAUUACAGUAUAAUCAAAUAAAUAAACUAAUCGAUAAUGUAUAAUUUAACUAAACAAAUUUAAUAUAAAUUUAAACCAAAUGUUCAGAUAAUAAAACUUAAACGUAAAAUCUCAAGAAUUUAAGAUUUUUACCUUACCAUUAAGCCAAUUCCUCAUUGGCUUUUGCUGGGGCUUGAAAGUGGCUUAUUUACAAAUUUCAAAACCAUGAAAUUGAGCUUCAAUCCUACCAUACUAUUCUUUGGGAUACAAGGUAAUCUUGGUUAGCUCAGCUUUGUAGAUAGUAACAUACUCCUAUUGUUUUUGGGCUUCGAAUUG